CAAAUAUUGGUGAGCUGCCUGGAUUUGGGAGAUGCAGUGAGAAUGAGUCAGAGCCCACGACAUGAGGGAGAGAAAGGGGGACCCUGAGGACUUGGGGUCCGGUGUGAGGAUCCUGCACUCGGUUUCUGUGAUGGUGUGUGCAGGGGAGUCACAAGUUCAGCGCUACACCAACCUGAACUUCGCUUCCUGAGACCUAAGAUUCAGCCCCGUGCUCAGCAGACAUCAGGGAUCACCGACUCUGUGCCAGGAGCUGUUCUUGAUGCUGGGAACGCAGGGGUGGACAAAACAGAGAAAGCCCUGCCCUCAGAACUUUCUACACAACAAUUCAGCACAGGAAGCAUGG
rnacentral:lncRNA from 1 species